GGACGCGUGUCGGGCCGUACGUUCGGCGAACGGUACGGCGGGCGCGGGCACGCGAAACCGCCGAAAAGACGGCGGGCGACCGGACGAACCGCGGUGGCGAACAGCAACCGAAUAAUAGCUCGGCGGCGAGUUCGGUCGGUCGGAGAGAAGUGAAUAUUUUCAACGUCGCUGGGCCGAAAGUUAACAAUAAUUGUUCGUCAAUUUGCGAAUGCGUCGUGCGGCAUUUCCGCCGUAAUUUGUACGGAGUUUUUUUUUUUUUUUUUUUUUUUUCGUAUAUUACGCAAAUUACAGGCCACCGCCGCCGCCGCCGCCGCGAUAACGACCGGGCGAAUUAUAUUUUGAAAACGACGAAUGACGUCGAGCAAUGAUAAUUACUGUUUUUUUUUUUUUUUUUUUAAUUUUUUUUCCAAAAUCGUCAUCAACCUAAUCCAAUUGUCGCUAAAACUGUUCGCGGUUUUUCGACAUACGGACGUAAUACCGGGGCGACGUCGAGUUUCGUCGCGCAUGUUUUUUUUUUUUUUUAUUUGUAUAUCAAACUACGCGUUGUCGAGUUAAAAAAAAAAAAUUAUAAAUCGUACGACGACCGGGUCCGCGAUCGGUUCAGUCGUACAUCACGGUUAAUUCAGCGGCGCGCCCGGGGAAUUUUCAACGGGACGUAGCGAAUAAUAAAUCGUAAAAUCGUCUCCUCCGCUCGACCCGACUACAUGCAUGGGAAUCGGCAGCCCAAAUGCCGAAGCGUGAAAAAAUGCCGAUCCGACAAGAUUUCAAGCUUUCGGUCGUAACACGGCUGAAUACACACGCGUUUCCGAUAUCGAGCCGUUAACGCGGGGCAAACGAAUCGUCGCAAUGAAAUCCCAGUGAUAACCGCUCGGAUUUUUUACGCGACGUUUGUUUUUAUUCCGUCGACGACGCCGCGGGGCCUCGACAAGCGGCCGACACGUUUUCCGUAGACUUUUUAUCCGGCGGGCUCAGAGCGGGCCGCGGAAACUAGUGAAAACCGGCGCGGUAAUUGCCGUUCGAAACCGAGACGGGCGAAUCGGCGGGAAACCGUAUUUGUUUAAUCGUUUUUUUUUUUUUUUUUUCGUUUUUUUCUUCCUCCCCGACGUCUGGCCGACCGAACGGAUCGAGAUAACCUAACCGAAACCGCGUAUACGCUCGCAUGCGUACGAAACGACAAUGUUCUAAAAGCGUGUUAAUGUUAUUGUCGAGCGUUACCUGUUUCGUCAUCCACGGCCGUGAUGGACGCCUUGUUCGGCGUCCCGCCGUCGGUGUCCACGGAAGCGCCGACCGCGGUGACCAGCAGACAUC